CUGCUUUUCAAUCAGUCAUAAUAAUCCUAGGGUUUGUGUUAUGCUUCGAAUUGGAGUCAGAUUUUGUCUGAUUUUUUAAAACUAGGAUCCGGAGGUCCCGACUUGUUCGGGUUCGGUACGUUUAGGAUUAGAGUUAGGUUUUCUGAUGGGCACGGAAAGGAAGAGAAAGGUGAGCUUGUUCGAUGUGGUGGACGACACCUCGUUGCCGGGGAAGAUCGGGAAAUCGAACGGCGGAGGAGGAGUAGCUGCGGCGGCGAUGAGCAACAAUGGUAUCAGUAGUGGGAUCAAUAGGUGGACAGGGAGGGCGUACUCGCAAAGGUACCAUGAGAUACUGGAGAAGAGGAGGAGCUUACCCGUGUGGCACCAGAAGGAGGAGUUCUUGCAGGUCCUCAAGGCGAAUCAGAGUAUUAUCCUCGUCGGUGAGACUGGCAGUGGCAAAACCACGCAGAUUCCCCAAUUCGUUUUGGAAGCUGUUGAUAUAGAAACUCCAGAUAAACGCAGAAAGAUGAUGAUUGCAUGCACCCAACCUCGUAGGGUUGCUGCAAUGUCUGUUUCACGCCGUGUGGCCGAAGAGAUGGAUGUAACUAUUGGAGAAGAGGUUGGUUAUAGCAUCCGUUUUGAAGACUGCAGUAGUGCAAGAACAGUUUUGAAGUAUCUAACAGAUGGUAUGCUCUUAAGAGAAGCGAUGACAGAUCCACUUCUAGAACGCUACAAAGUUAUAAUACUCGAUGAGGCUCAUGAAAGAACAUUGGCAACGGAUGUUCUAUUUGGACUUCUGAAGGAAGUAUUGAAAAAUAGAUCUGACCUUAAGGUAGUUGUGAUGAGUGCAACUCUUGAAGCUGAAAAGUUUCAGGGUUAUUUUAAUGGUGCACCGCUUAUGAAAGUUCCUGGUAGGCUUCAUCCAGUGGAGAUAUUCUACACCCAGGAACCUGAAAGGGACUAUCUGGAGGCGGCAAUUCGAACAGUAGUGCAGAUCCACAUGUGUGAACCUCCUGGAGAUAUACUUGUGUUCCUCACCGGCGAGGAGGAGAUAGAAGAUGCAUGCCGAAAAAUAUCAAAAGAGGUUGCAAAUCUGGGUGACCAGGUGGGACCUGUGAAAGCAGUGCCUUUGUAUUCUCCCCUCCCGCCAGCAAUGCAGCAGAAGAUAUUUGAACCAGCUCCACCUUCAGCAAAGGAGGGUGGUCCUCCAGGAAGGAAGAUUGUGGUGUCAACAAACAUUGCAGAAACUUCUCUGACCAUCGAUGGUAUAGUAUAUGUUAUUGACCCUGGGUUUGCGAAACAAAAAGUUUAUAACCCAAGAGUGCGUGUUGAAUCCUUGUUGGUAUCUCCGAUAUCUAAGGCUAGUGCACACCAGAGAUCAGGGCGUGCUGGAAGAACUCAGCCUGGGAAAUGCUUUAGACUCUAUACGGAGAGAAGCUUCAAUAAUGAUCUUCAGCCACAGACCUAUCCAGAAAUAUUGAGAUCAAACCUUGCAAAUACUGUUCUUACCUUGAAAAAACUGGGGAUAGAUGAUCUUGUGCAUUUUGAUUUUAUGGACCCACCUGCCCCGGAGACAUUGAUGCGCGCCCUAGAGGUUUUGAAUUACUUGGGUGCAUUAGAUGAUGAUGGAAAUUUAACAAAGCUUGGGGAAAUUAUGAGCGAAUUUCCAUUAGAUCCUCAGAUGUCAAAGAUGCUCGUUGUUAGCACUGAAUUCAAUUGUUCAAAUGAAAUUCUUUCAAUCUCUGCCAUGCUUUCAGUUUCUCAGUAUUCUCUCAUGAAGCAAAUGGUAUCGCGCCUCUAUGCAUCUGCUGACCUCCGUGGGCCUCCUCUGUGAUAACCAAUUUCUUUCUUUAGUACCCAAUUGCUUUGUCCGGCCUAGGGAGGCUCAAAAAGCUGCUGAUGAAGCGAAAGCUAGGUUUGGGCACAUCGAUGGAGAUCACCUCACACUCUUGAAUGUAUAUCAUGCUUACAAGCAAAACAGCGAGGAUCCCUCUUGGUGUUAUGAUAACUUUGUCAAUAAUAGGGCAUUGAAGUCUGCUGAUAACGUUAGACAACAGCUAGUGCGGAUCAUGGCCAGGUUUAACCUCAAGUUGUGUAGCACUGAUUUCAACAGCCGUGACUACUACAUCAACAUAAGGAAGGCUAUGCUAGCAGGGUACUUCAUGCAGGUAGCUCACAUGGAACGUACUGGACACUACUUGACAGUGAAAGACAACCAAGUGGUGCACUUGCAUCCAUCGAAUUGCUUGGAUCACAAGCCAGAGUGGGUAAUUUAUAAUGAGUAUGUGCUAACCAGCAGGAAUUUCAUUCGCACGGUGACAGACAUUCGUGGUGAAUGGCUGAUUGAUAUAGCACCACACUACUAUGAUCUGACGAACUUCCCUCAGUGCGAGGCCAAACGUGUUCUUGAAAGGCUUUACAAGAAGCGGGAGAAGGACAGGGAGGAGAGCAAGAACAGAAAAUGAAAAGUUCUUGCCGUCCAUAUCUUUUGACUACUUGCAUGUGUCUUCUCCAUAGACAUGGAGAAGGCCAUACGUAUUUAGCUGGAUUCUUUCAUUGUAUUAUCUGGCUCAUCUACUCUCAAAAGAGCCAGUGUCUCGGUGAAAGCUCUGGAAAUUUGGCAAAAUUUCUGUAUCAUUACCUAGUGUUAGUUUUAGUGAGUUAUAAUUUUGUAUUGUGUCGUCUAUCUCAAAUUGUUUGUGGAUUUGGUGGUUUCAUUGCCAUUUAAACUUAUCAAGAAAGCGAUUAAAAUUUUGAGAAAAAAUGGGGAAUGAAUCUGAUAUGAUCA